CAUCACAUACGGAAAGUUGAAAAAGUACAACCGUUUUUAUCUGCACAACAAGGAAAUUCAAGUUAUAAGAUAAAGAGGAGGAAUACUCACCUACUGAACCAAGUCUGUUGAAAGGAUGGAACCUGAAUCUACUGACCCAAAAGUAACAGUAGUGCAUGUGGAAGCCCCAGUACUGUCUGAUGUUGGUGUUGUCAAGGAGAACAAGCAAGGGGAGGUAAUAGGUGAAAUUUGUAAAGGAAACAAAACUGAAAAAGCAGUGACUGUUCAGAAAAAAGGCGGAAAUUCUAAUGAAAGUGCAGAUGGUUUGAGGGUUAAACAAGAAGCCUCGCCAGCUGUUAACACCAUAAUUGGAAAAGAUGAGGAUGGGGAAGUAAUAGACAUGUCAGAUAUUCGUGUCCUUGAAGAUUUAGACACAGAAAAUAAAUCUCCAGAAAAGGAAGAAAUGACACCAAACAAGGCAGGAAAGAUGGAAGAAACAGAUGAAGAAGAUAGCAAAGACCCAGUGGCAAAAAAAAGGAAGUCCUAUGAGUUUUUCUACCCAGACAUGGUCUCCACUUUAGAACUAGCUCUCCGUGGAUUACCAGGUAUGGCUAAUUGUCAGCAAUCCAAGGUGAUUAUCCCCCAAAAGGAUCCUCCACCAAAAGGACCACUUCAAAUGGGAUCUGCUCAGAAGAGACCAACACCAAUCAGAGACUUUGCAAAAGAGGCUAAGAAAGCUUUGAAAAAAUCUGGAAAUAUUGUUGAAGUGAGAGCCACUCGUAAAUCUACACGUAAUGCGACAAACCCUACAAAACCAGUGUACAACACAGGAAAUGUAACUGCAGUCAAGACAAUUAAUCCCGAAAAGGCGAUGCAACCACAAGUGCUUCUAGACCGAAUACAAGUCAAAGAAUCUCAAAACACCAAAUCGAAGACCUCGACAGAACCAGUAGCAAAGAAAGCCAGAAAUACACCAAAGGCAGCUGGAAAGAAAACCAAAGUCAUGCCGCAGGCUGUUGCUAAACAACCAAAGAUUAAACCACAGGUUGUGACAAAACCAGUACCAGUGGAGGUCACCACACCAAAGAGCAAGGCCGUGCCUUCUAAAUCUGGCCAAGAGACAUUUGUAGUUGCACCAGGGGGCCAUCAGAUUGCAAUUAAUUAUCCCCCACCUGCUGGUGCACUUUUCCGUCCAUCUGUCACACGCAGUCGAGAGUGGAGGAAAAAGGGUCCAGGCCGAUCGUCACGUUCAAAAGGAAGUGGUCUGAUUGUGGAUAAUCAGAAGGAGAUACCGACAGUGAUGAUGAAAAUGAGGGUGUCUGAUACGUCCGAUAUCGUGACUACACUUGAUCUAGCCCCGCCCACAAAAAAACUGAUGCAGUUGAAGGAGACCGAGGGCAGUAAGGUGUUUGCUGUGCCAGGUCGUAACCUCACACCUCGUCUGGCAUGGCCGCUUUUUUAUCCUAACUUGUUGACCAAACCAAGGGAAGAUGACUCUGAUGAAGAUGAUGAUACUAUAGCUGAUGAUGUGGUAGAUGAGGAGGACAACCUUGACGGUCAGAAGAAAUGUUUCACAAUCAUUCGCAGCGAGCCCCUCAGCUUAUCAGACAGUGAAGAUAACAUCCACUACACAAACGUACUGUCAGACGAGGAUGAAGAUAAUGUUGGACCUGAAUACGAACCAUCUACUGCAAGCGUAUCAACGGAUGAGAUGAACGUUGAACCCAACAACACAGGAACUGUUUCCAUGGAAACAAAUGUAGACAAUCCUCAAGUAAUAAUUAUGGAAGAAAAGACAGAUUCUCAUCAACAGACUGUUUCAGGCGCUACAGAGAACAUAUCUUCCAGUCAGAUGCAAGAGGUACGGGGCUUGAAAUCAGAGAACAUUACAUCACAGACUAUUGAGACAUCUGCAGAAACAGUUAUUUUAGGAGGGGAGGUACCUACGGUAGAAAGUGUAACCCCACCACAAGUUGUUGAGGGAGGGGAGGUAACUACUGUAGAAUGUGUAACUUCACCACAAGUUGUUGUAGGAGGGGAGGUAACUACAGUAGAAUGUGAAACUCCACCACAAGUUGGUGUAGGAGGGGAGGUAACUACGAUAGAAAGUGUAACCCCACCACAAGUUGUUGAGGGAGGGGAGGUAACAACAGUAGAAUGUGAAACUACAUCACAAGUUGCUGUACAAGGGGAAGAGGUAACAUCAGUAGAUAGUGAAACCCCACCACAAGCUGCUGUUCAAGGGGAGGUAACUACGGUAGAAUGUGAAACCCCACCACAAGAUUUAGCAGAGGUUGUCAGCGGUUCUGCUAGCAAUCCUGUGGUAGUGGACACUGGAGUAGACACAUCUGUUGUGGAUAUUUCAAUGACCUCUGUUGGUGCCAAUGAAGCCACGAUUGAGACAGUCAGUGCGAGUCCGCCGACGAGCAGCACAACAGCUACAGCAGAGGAUGGCUGUGUCAUAGUUUCAGUUGUCACGGAAAUAUCAGAACCAUAUGUAGAGCAGGACGGAGAAAUCAUGAUUCCAGCAGACUCAGAAGACAAUUCCGAUGAAAAAUAUAUAUUGUAUAUGGAGAAGUGAUUUUCGAAAUAUAAUGUUUAGUGGAUAACAUUUUAUUUCUAUUUGAAUCUCCAGGCUUCACACAUACUCUGUGUGAAUGUUAUGGGAGACGGUUAUUCCAAACGUCAUUGUGUAUUUUAAAUGACCAAAAGGUUCAAUUUUUUAAAUAUUGUUCCAAAACAAUUUUAUGAAGCAGAGUUUGUUUUUUGUGAUUUGAAACACCAUACCGAGCGCUAGUUCUUUGUAUAAGGUAUUUAAUUCUAACUGUAAGGAGUGUGUUUGAAUUAGACAGUGGAAUCAUGUUUACAUGGGAAACACAAGUGAGCAAUACAUUUUGAUACAAAUGAAGUAAAAUAUACAAUAUAGAAGAAUUAUUUGUUAAACUGAAGCUGUUUCGUCUUUCUAGGAUACAUCAGUGAUUCUAAGGUCCUAUUAAAGGUGUGAAACUUUUGAAGACGGAUAUGAAAGUCAGACAAAGGCAGAGAGAUCAAUAGGAAAAUUAGAAAUCAGUAGAAAAAAUAUCAAUACACAGAGGUACACUUACCUUGUAAAAAUUUAUGUAAAUCUCCAGGCUCUGCCACUAACUCUGUGAGAUAGGAUAUAGCCACACCCCAUCUUGGGUAGACAGGCGUCACUCUGCCACUAACUCUGUGAGAUACGAUAUAGCCACAUCCCCAUCCUGGGUAGACAGGCAUCACUCUGCCACUAACUCUGUGAGAUAUGAUAAAGCCACAUCCCCAUCUUGGGUAGACAGGCGUCACUCUGCCACUAACUCUGUGAGGUAAGAUAUAGCCACAUCCCCAUCCUGGGUAGACAGGCGUCACUCUGCCACUAACUCUGUGAGAUAUGAUAUAGCCAUGUUCCCAUCCUUGGUAGACAGACUUGGCCUUGCCACCAACAUUGGUAGGUGAGAUAUAGCCACUCCCCAUCCUGGGUAGACAGACUUGGCCUUGCCACCAACAUUGGUAGGUGAGAUAUAGCCACACCCCAUUCUAGGUAGACAGACUUGGCCUUGCCACCAACAUUGGUAGGUGAGAUAUAGCCAUUCUUGCAAGAAAGGCAAAUAAGUAAAAGCUCCUCUAACUUUGGAAGAGGAGGUAAUAUCAAGCCUUGAAACUACCAGUUAGAUUGGAGGGAAGUUAAGAAUACAAAAAUAUGUAAAUAUAUUUAUGAUUUGCCAUGCAUGUUCUAGAAUACUAAGCCAUGCCUCCAUCUGUGGUGCAUGUUGUUGGCCCUUCAUCAUUGCUGGUACAUGUUGUAGGUCACACCUCCAUCCAUAUAUUGCAGACCACAUUUCCGUACCAGGUGUUUGUUAUAGGCCUGGUUUAUAUUGUAAGCCACACUCCUAUUCCUGGUUUAAGUUUUUAGGCACAGUGCAUCCCUGGUGUUUGUUGUGUAUAUUGUAGGCCUGUGCCUUAAUCCCUGGUGUUUGUUGAAGGUCCUGUGCCUACAUCUUUGGUGUAUCUUGUGGGCUACGCCCCCAUAUGUGAUGUUUUCGGCCACACCUCCAUUGAUUAUAUAUUUCUAGGCCACGCCUCCAUAUCUUGUCAAAGUUAUGGCCCAUGCCUCCAUCUCUGAUAUAUCUCGUAGGCCAAACAUACAGGUCUAGUGUGGGUUGUAGGCCACACCUCAAUCUCUAGUAUAUCUCAAAGGCUACGCCUCCAUCUCUAGUAUAUCUCACAGGCCACACCUCCAUCUCUAGUAUAUCUCACAGGCCACGCCUCCAUCUCUAGUAUAUCUCACAGGCCACGCCUCCAUCUCUGGUAUGUCUUAUAGGCCAUGCAUCCAUGUCUGGUACAUGUUUUAGGUCACACCUCCGUCUCUGAUAUAUGUUGUGGACCACGCCUACAUCUCUGGUAAACAUUUUCUUCUGGCAUAAUGAUAGGUCACACUUUCCUUAUAGCAGAUUGGACUAGUUGAGUCUGCUGUUUGGGUCAAGUUUGUGCCUGGUUACAGAGAAAUUCUGCCAGCCUAUUAUAACAUAGCUACCUAAUGAAUUAUUUUGCAUGAAAAUCUUAUUAUGUAAGAAAGUGAAGCAAUAUUUGGUAAUACAUUCUGCCUAGUUCAUGGUGAGUUCUUUGGAAGUCUUAUCUGCUGUAAAUAUUAUGUAUAUAAUGUACAUAUAUAUGGAGAAAUUGUGACAAAAUAUUUUUAAUAUACAUCAGUUUGUAUACCAUUACACUUCUGGUUGUUUUUUAGAUGAAACUUGUCGAGGUUAU